AAUCAGGACUAGCCUUUCAUCCCAGGGUAUAACAGGUGAUUCAGAACUAGCCUUUCAUCCCAGGGUAUAACAUCAAUCAACAGGUGAAUCAGGACUAGCCUUUCAUCCCAGGGUAUAACAGGUGAUUCAGGACUAGCCUUUCAUCCCAGGGUAUAACAUCAAUCAACAGGUGAUUCAGGACUAGCCUUUCAUCCCAGGGUAUAACACCAAUCAACAGGUGAAUCAGGACUAGCCUUUCAUCCCAGGGUAUAACAGGUGAUUCAGAACUAGCCUUUCAUCCCAGGGUAUAACAGGUGAAUCAGGACUAGCCUUUCAUCCCAGGGUAUAACAGGUGAAUCAGGACUAGCCUUUCAUCCCAGGGUAUAACAGGUGAUUCAGAACUAGCCUUUCAUCCCAGGGUAUAACAUCAAUCAACAGGUGAAUCAGGACUAGCCUUUCAUCCCAGGGUAUAACAGGUGAUUCAGAACUAGCCUUUCAUCCCAGGGUAUAACAGGUGAAUCAGGACUAGCCUUUCAUCCCAGGGUAUAACAGGUGAUUCAGAACUAGCCUUUCAUCCCAGGGUAUAACAGGUGAAUCAGGACUAGCCUUUCAUCCCAGGGUAUAACAGGUGAAUCAGGACUAGCCUUUCAUCCCAG